GCCGCUGUCCCCCUUUCUCCACCUUAUCUACGGCCACCACCUCCAAUGAAACAUUUAAGCCAUUUUUCGUACUCCUCUUCUCAGAUCUGUUCGCUGGUCUCAUAAAUUCAAAAUCACUUUCCCUCUUUCCCUCUCACCAAAUUCCCCAGAUCCACUUUUUCCCUGAAGUAUACGCUAGAAGUUGAGACGGUUGUUGGUUCUGAGAAUUAUUGUUUUGACCGGUCGGUAUUUGUUCUGAACGAUGUUGUUGCAAGCAUGGUUAUGCAAUUUAGAAGUUGUUAUGGUGCGUUUGUUGUGAGCGUGGUUUUGAACGCCAUCUCUUAUGUCAAGAUUUGUUUAAAUCCUGUUUUUGGUCUAGCAGAUGCUGUUGAAGGCGAACGUUUCUUCACUGAGCUCGUCGUGAAACAGGUUCAUUUAACGCAUUUGUUUAAUUUUGUCUAAUCUUUGUUUUCCUCUUUUGUUUAAUUUUGUUUUUUCUUCAUUUUCCUAUUGUCUUAUUUCACUAUAAUUAUUCAUUUUAUGCUAAUUAUUGUGAAAUUGGAAUGAAUAAUUUUGAUUGAUGUUUGUGAGUUUUUUUAAGAGUUCUCUUUUGAGAAGAUGAAUGGUGAAGUUUGAUUUGAAAUUGUGAUAGGGUGAUCCAUAGUCUCAAGAUCUAAUUUAUACAUUCUUAAACAUUUUCUUAUGCCUGUAAUUUCUUGGUGUCAUCCUGCUAUGUGCAAUAUCUUGGUCACAUUUGUUUAAAUUUGUUGGUACAGUUCCAUGCUUUCUAUUCUCAUUUUCUUUCUUUUUCAUUCUUUAGCAUUUUCUUUCUCAUUUUCUUAUGCCAUUCAUAUCUAGCAGACAUAUUGUGUUUUUAUCCAUAUAAGAUAAGAUGAAGCUAAGCAUCUGCAAUUGCUUCGCAGUUGGUGUGUUUUUUUUUAAUGUUAGUGUGUUCUUACAAAAGAGGUUUUGUUGUGCAAUUGUUUCUUCAACUGUGUGCCAUACAAUUUAACACGUAUUUGGACAGAACAAUUUCACAAUGAUGCGUUAAGUUAUCAACAGCCUCUCAAGAUGAAGGACAUGCAGUUGCAUUCUAUAUGAAGGACAUGUACUUUGUAAACGACACAGGACAUUUUUUAGAUGAGAUUUGAGAAGGUUUCCGAGGGCAAGAAUCCACUUGUACCAUCUAAUGUUAUGGCAUUCAAGAAACUCAGGUCGUUAUUGCUUAUGCAGAGAGGACAUAUCGAAGUACAAGGAGCUUGAUCCAUUGGAUGGUUUACUACUGCUAAAAGCCAUUUGUGAAGUUACAGCUGAUGAAUUGUGACCUCUUAUUUAGUUUUUUCAAUUUUUUUGUUUCUUUAAUUAAUAUUAUAGUAUUUAUAUACUCUUUGUUCUCCCUAAGUCCAGAUUUCUCUGUAAUCCCUUUUAAAUUCAACCUUGCUUUUACUGAUUUUUUUACUGUAUCAGUUUAGUUUUGGUAAUUAAUAGUCUUUAUAUAAGAAAUCUUAAGUACUAAAUGGUUACUUCAAUUCAAAAUGUUCAAGUGUUUAGAAAUAUUUUAUCAUUAAUGUCAUUCCCAUAUUAGACUUGCAUUUUAUUUUCUACUCCUUCUUACACACUCUUAAUAUAAUAAGUUUUAAUGAAAAAAUAUAUUAUUUUUCUGAAAUAUAUUUUGUAAUCUAAUGUAAUUUAAUGAAAAGUUUUAACUGGUCUAUAGUAUUUGGGGGGUAUUUAAUGAAAUUUUUUGUAAUGAAAUGUAAUUUAGAUAUUUUUAAUCUCAUUUGUAUUCCUUUUCAAUCUCAUUGGACAGGUACAAUAAAUAUAGAUAUUUUUCUAUAUUUUGAUCAAUUGUAAAAUUAAACAUUACU